UACAGAGGGUGCAAACGUUGUUCGGAAUUACUGGGCGUAAAGCGCGUGUAGGCGGCAGGGCAAGUCGGAUGUGAAAGCCCACGGCUCAACCGUGGAAGUGCACCCGAAACUGCCUCGCUAGAGUCUCGGAGAGGAAGGUGGAAUGCUUGGUGUAGAGGUGAAAUUCGUAGAUAUCAAGCGGAACACCGGUGGCGAAGGCGGCCUUCUGGACGAUGACUGACGCUGAGACGCGAAAGCGUGGGGAGCAAACAGG
rnacentral:rRNA from 1 species